GCCUGGGUGGCUCAGUGGGUUGAGCGACCGACUUCAGCUCGGGUCAUGAUCUCACGGUUUGUGAGUUUGAGCCCCGCAUCGGGCU
rfam:Felis catus isolate Cinnamon breed Abyssinian chromosome E3, whole genome shotgun sequence.